rnacentral:rRNA from 1 species
AGCAGUAGCCACGGGAAUACGUAGGUGGCAAGCGUUGUCCGGAAUUAUUGGGCGUAAAGGGCUCGCAGGCGGUUUCUUAAGUCUGAUGUGAAAGCCCCCGGCUCAACCGGGGAGGGUCAUUGGAAACUGGGAAACUUGAGUGCAGAAGAGGAGAGUGGAAUUCCACGUGUAGCGGUGAAAUGCGUAGAGAUGUGGAGGAACACCAGUGGCGAAGGCGACUCUCUGGUCUGUAACUGACGCUGAGGAGCGAAAGCGUGGGGAGCGAACAGGAUUAGAUACCCGCGUAGUCCCUGUCUCUUAUAC